GAUGAACGCUGGCGGUGCGCCUAACACAUGCAAGUCGAACGCGAACCAUUUUAGAUCACUUCGAAGGGCUUGCCUGGAUGAGUGUGAUAUUUUUCGGUUUGAGUGGCGAACGAGAGAGCAAUGUAUUGGUAUCUCCCCCCAAGUCAGGGAUAGCCCAUUGAAAGAUGGAUUAAUACCGGAUGGUCCCGCAAGGGUAAAGCAGCAAUGCGCUCGGGGAAGAGCCUGUAUCCUAUCAGCUAGUUGGCGGGUAAUAGCCACCAAGGCAAUGACGGUAGCUGGUCUGAGAGGACGACCAGCCUCGAUGGAACUGAGACACGGUCCAUAACACCUACGGGUGGCAGCAGUGAGGAAUCUUCCGCAAAUGGACGAAAGUCUGACGGAGCGACACCGCGUGAAGG
rnacentral:rRNA from 1 species